AUUGAACGCUGGCGGCAUGCCUUACACAUGCAAGUCGAACGGCAGCACGGGUGCUUGCACCUGGUGGCGAGUGGCGAACGGGUGAGUAAUACAUCGGAACGUACCUUAUCGUGGGGGAUAACGCAGCGAAAGCUGUGCUAAUACCGCAUACGCCCUGAGGGGGCAAGCGGGGGAUCGCAAGACCUCGCGCGAUUAGAGCGGCCGAUGCCUGAUUAGCUUGUUGGUGGGGUAAAAGCCCACCAAGGCGACGAUCAGUAGCUGGUCUGAGAGGACGAUCAGCCACACUGGGACUGAGACACGGCCCAGACUCCUACGGGAGGCAGCAGUGGGGAAUUUUGGACAAUGGGGGCAACCCUGAUCCAGCAAUGCCGCGUGAGUGAAGAAGGCCUUCGGGUUGUAAAGCUCUUUUGUCAGGGAAGAAACACCGGCUCUAACACAGUCCGGGAACGACGGUACCUGAAGAAUAAGCACCGGCUAACUACGUGCCAGCCGCCGCGGUAA
rnacentral:rRNA from 1 species